UAGAAGUUGUAGUUGACUCCAGAGACAUUGUGCUAUUCACAGGAACUUACAAAAGACGUAGAUCUGUCCGGUCUCACAGAUCAACCCGCUGUGACUAAUGAUUCUGUUGGUCCCCCUCAGAGCGAGCAACUGCAAAAUGGAAGCGUGAAGUUGGAGCCUCUCUCUGCAUCGCUGGUCCGCUCUGUUACCGCGGUCACCGCCCAGGCCUCUGUUGCCACAG
rnacentral:lncRNA from 1 species